AAAAAUAUUCAUGGCUAAAGUACGACGAAGAUGAAGGCAUGUUUUGUAAGCAGUCUGCUUACAAAACUUAGCAGACUUAUGGACAGAGAUCAGAAAAAGAAAUAUCACUAUCGCCACAUUGUUUGAUCCUGAUGACAAUUAAGUGUGAAGUUGUGCUGUAAGAAAAUGGACAAUUUGUGUGUGAAAAUGACUGACAAUUGUGACAUUGGAAAUCAUAUUAUAUUAGUGCUGUGACAUUACAUAUUGCUAUUGUGUUUAGUGUGAUAUCAUAGUGCUUAUUAUUUUAAGAAAUUUGAGCUUUGGAAGUGUAUCAGUAACAUUUAAUUAGUAAUCUGAAAGAGAGAUAGAGAGAGACCAUGAGUUUGAGAAAGUCUGAGUUGGUAAAGAGAAUGAAUGAAGAACGAGCAAUGUAUUAAUUUAAGGAUGUACAAAUAUGGAUGAGUCAGAGAUUGGUAAAUGCUGAUUGCUGUAUUUAUUUUUCUUACAUAUUGAAUAAAUAAAUUCAUAUUACCAUGA